GAUGAACGCUGGCGGCGUGCCUAAUACAUGCAAGUCGAGCGAACAGAUGAGGAGCUUGCUCCUCUGACGUUAGCGGCGGACGGGUGAGUAACACGUGGAUAACCUACCUAUAAGACUGGGAUAACUUCGGGAAACCGGAGCUAAUACCGGAUAAUAUAUUGAACCGCAUGGUUCAAUAGUGAAAGACGGUUUUGCUGUCACUUAUAGAUGGAUCCGCGCCGCAUUAGCUAGUUGGUAAGGUAACGGCUUACCAAGGCAACGAUGCGUAGCCGACCUGAGAGGGUGAUCGGCCACACUGGAACUGAGACACGGUCCAGACUCCUACGGGAGGCAGCAGUAGGGAAUCUUCCGCAAUGGGCGAAAGCCUGACGGAGCAGCGCCGCGUGAGUGAUGAAGGUCUUCGGAUCGUAAAACUCUGUUAUUAGGGAAGAACAAAUGUGUAAGUAACUAUGCACGUCUUGACGGUACCUAAUCAGAAAGCCACGGCUAACUACGUG
rnacentral:rRNA from 1 species